AGUUGUUUCAAGAUAUGAAAGGUCAUGUGUAUUUUAUUGAACAGCAUUUUCAAUUCUAUUAAAUAUACAUAAUUGUAAAUUGAUAAUCAAGCUACCACACAGUUAUCAAAACAAAACAAAAAAUGCAAAACAGAGUAAAGCUACCACACACAAUUAGCAACUCAGUUAACAAAUUCAGUAAGAAUCACAUUUGUAUCUACCACUGGACAAUCAGCAUACCAGUAUUACUAAACGGAAAACCUAAAACCUAAAUGGACACCCAACAACAGAAUUAAUGAGGUAAAACAACAGAACUCACCGUUGCAGCGCCUUCACCACCAACGAAACGAGCGCAAUGCCUUCAACGACGUCAAUACCGUCGUCGUCUCCGUCGCCGUCGCCGUCGAUACAACUCAGCAGAACUCACCGUCACCGUCACCACCGUCUAGAGAGAGGGUAGUGAGACCCUAGUUUAGAGAGAGAUAGACGGCAGUGAGAGAGAAAGGUUCCUCUGUUUGGCAGGAAAAUAUUUUAUAUAAUUAUGUUUACUUAUAUGUUACAUUUACGUAGAUCGGAUUGGUUCGAUUUUUAAUUUAAAUAUAAUCAAAUCAAUAGUAUGAUUUUUUCAAUCAAUUUUUGAAAUCAAAUCAAAUUAAUAUACAGUCAGUUUUUUCGAUUUUAAUUGAGUUUUUUCAAUUUUCACGAUUUUUUGAUUUUC
rnacentral:lncRNA from 1 species